rnacentral:rRNA from 1 species
UACGUAGGGGGCAAGCGUUGUCCGGAAUCAUUGGGCGUAAAGCGCGUGUAGGCGGCCUUGUAAGUCCGUUCUGAAAGCCCGGGGCUCAACCCCGGGAGGCGGAUGGAUACUGCAAGGCUCGAGUACGGAAGAGGCGAGUGGAAUUCCCGGUGUAGCGGUGAAAUGCGCAGAUAUCGGGAGGAACACCAAUGGCGAAGGCAGCUCGCUGGGACGGUACUGACGCUGAGACGCGAAAGCGUGGGGAGCAAACAGG